rnacentral:lncRNA from 1 species
UUUUCUCAAAAACCCAAAUUCCCCUUGAUCAGCAAAACCUAAACUGAGCAUCACUCCAACAUCCCUCUCUUUGUCUCGCUAUCAAACAACCAGAUCUCAAAACCUAAAACCAUCGAUUUCAAACAUCGCUCUCUCUGUCUCGAUCAUUCAAUUUAAGAGAUCCGAUCUGGAUAGAUGAUUUCAAGCUCUCAGAUCCAAACGCCGCUCAUACUCAUGUUUGUCGAUUGGAGUCUGGAUAAGCAUGUAUGUAUGUAUGUGUGAAGGAUUCAAAAGUGGAAGAGAUGCAGAAAGGAGUUGAAUAAUUCCUGGAGCUGAGAGAACAAAAGCAAAACAAAGAAGAAAAACAGCACGUGGUGCUAGUUGACUUCGUUCGUCUAUUUGGAACCCUAGAAGCUGGGCCUUGCGUUCGUCUUCUCAAAAAGUGGUGAUUUUGAUUCAGGUUUCUAGAAGUUGGUAUAGAAAACGAUCAUGUACGUGACGAAAAUGUUUCUGAUGCUGAUACCGGGUUGAAUCAGUGCAUUCCAAAUCACCUUCAUUUAUUGGAGACGAAAGAACUAAUCUAUCUGGGAAUGAAGCAGUUAAAACUGUAGCUUCAGCAAACACAGUUGGGUAUGUUUAUUAAACUCUCUUAUCGGAGCAUGACAUUUCUUGGUAUUGUUUUCCCUCUGGGCCACCAAAAAAUUGAUCCAGCCUUGGGAUAAUGUGAUUGUUGUUCCUUUAACCCGAGUACAAAGUUUAUUGAAAAUGAAACAAAAAUCUGGGAUAAAGCGUACUAAAAUUCAUUUUAGUUUUAGGGAAUUUUGGACUCAAGCAUAUGUACAUGCCUUGGUUAGUUAUUUCUGUUAAGUAUAUAUCAAGAUAGAUGUGCGCUAGGAUGACUUGCGGCUGAGCGGCUUCCCCUCCGAUGAGUUUUGGUGGCGGCGGUCGUCACAUCUGAAACCACCUAUCAUGUUUCAGUAACGGAGGAAGUAAUCUGUUUUACUGGCGGAUAACGGACUCCGUGGAGAAGCUCACUGGCGAUGGUAGUACCAGAAACGGCAGCGGUGGCUCUCUUCGUGUAUUGCUGGUUCGGGCCCGGUGUAUUUCUGGUGGAGCUCCGAUUCACAGCUAUAACAGUGGCAGUGUACAUCCCCUUGUAGCCCAUCGGGUGGAAUGGCUACUACCAUGGCUUAAGUUUAUUAUGUAUCCUUGAUCUUAGUUCCACUUUUGUUUCAAUUGGCAAAUGAUUAUAGAAUCUUGCUUCUUCUCAUGGGAGAUGUUGGUGUAGCAAGAUGGAUGUCAUCUGUUGCAAACCAAUGUAAGGAGGGUGAAGGACCAAAUGGUUAAUAGGAUAUAAAACUUUGCAUAAUGGGAGUUGGUGAUAACCAUCAACCAUGACCCAAUUGAUGAGGAUAUUAUUUAUGAGCACAAUGAAGUUUUGAGUUUUUAUUUAAAUAUUUGUUAGGUUUUUGUUUUAUACAUUAGAUAUUUAGACUUAACGUGACACUUGUUAGACAUUUGGAAGGUAAUCGAAGUUAUGAUAUUAUGCUU